rnacentral:snoRNA from 1 species
CAUCAUCCACGGAUAGACCUUGAACAAAUUGCUAUUGUUCGUUUGGAUUGUAUUAGAAUGAGAAAGGAAAAAAAAUCCCUGUGCUUUCUGUCUUUGUGGCGGCCCAGAUUGAAUACUGAAAUACAUCU